rnacentral:miRNA from 2 species
CCUCACUCAGUUUGGCUGUGGUG